UUUUAAAAAUAAACCAGUGGAUAAAAGCUCAAAUGGAGUUAACAAUGGUUAAUAAUAAAAAAAGAUGUCUAGAAAGGCUCAGGGGUAAUAUCAAAAACGUGCCUUAGUGUGUGUAGUCAUGCAACCGAAAUCAGAAAAGAACGUAUGCAAUUCUGAAUGAUAAAGACAUACAUGAAUGCUCUCUUAUGAUGUACAUUGUGUUUGGCUUUUUCUGCUCUUACCAUGUUGGGUAG
rnacentral:lncRNA from 1 species